UACGAAGGGGGCUAGCGUUGUUCGGAAUUACUGGGCGUAAAGCGCGCGCAGGCGGUUCGACAAGUCAGUGGUGAAAGCCCGGAGCUCAACUCCGGAACUGCCAUUGAAACUGCAGAACUUGAGGAUGAGAGAGGUGAGUGGAAUUCCCAGUGUAGAGGUGAAAUUCGUAGAUAUUGGGAAGAACACCGGCGGCGAAGGCGGCUCACUGGCUCAUUUCUGACGCUCAGGCGCGACAGCGUGGGGAUCAAACAGG
rnacentral:rRNA from 1 species